rnacentral:rRNA from 1 species
UACAGAGGUCUCAAGCGUUGUUCGGAUUCAUUGGGCGUAAAGGGUGCGUAGGCGGCGCGGUAAAGUCGGGUGUGAAAUCUUGGAGCUUAACUCCGAAACUGCAUUCGAUACUGCCGUGCUUGAGGACUGGAGAGGAGACUGGAAUUUACGGUGUAGCGGUGAAAUGCGUAGAUAUCGUGAAGGAAGACCAGUGGCGAAGGCGGGUCUCUGGA